rnacentral:rRNA from 1 species
UGAACCUGCGGAAGGAUCAUUACAGUAUUCUUUUUGCCAGCGCUUAAUUGCGCGGCGAAAAAACCUUACACACAGUGUUUUUUGUUAUUACAAGAACUUUUGCUUUGGUCUGGACUAGAAAUAGUUUGGGCCAGAGGUUUACUGAACUAAACUUCAAUAUUUAUAUUGAAUUGUUAUUUAUUUAAUUGUCAAUUUGUUGAUUAAAUUCAAAAAAUCUUCAAAACUUUCAACAACGGAUCUCUUGGUUCUCGCAUCGAUGAAGAACGCAGCGAAAUGCGAUAAGUAAUAUGAAUUGCAGAUUUUCGUGAAUCAUCGAAUCUUUGAACGCACAUUGCGCCCUCUGGUAUUCCAGAGGGCAUGCCUGUUUGAGCGUCAUUUCUCUCUCAAACCUUCGGGUUUGGUAUUGAGUGAUACUCUUAGUUGAACUAGGCGUUUGCUUGAAAUGUAUUGGCAUGAGUGGUACUGGAUAGUGCUAUAUGACUUUCAAUGUAUUAGGUUUAUCCAACUCGUUGAAUAGUUUAAUGGUAUAUUUCUCGGUAUUCUAGGCUCGGCCUUACAAUAUAACAAACAAGUUGACCUC